rnacentral:tRNA from 1 species
GCCUGGGUGGCUCAGUGGGUUAAGCGUCUGACUUCAGCUCAGGUCAUGACCUUGCGGUUCGUGAGUUCGAGCCCCACAUCGGGCU